ensembl:lncRNA
AUGAGUGCUAAUAACACUUUUGAUGGCCUGGAUGAGCCAGUGAGACCUACACCUGGUGGCAGAAAACGCCAAUUGGACAAAGAAAAUCACAAAAAACAACAAAAAAAGAAGCUUCGCCACUCAGGUGGCGCGUUAAUACCCACUGUGGGAUGUCACCACAAGGCUGAUGCAACCAGUUUCUGUCAGGCAGAGAAGCUGUCACCGGACGACCUGAUGAUCAAUUUCAAUACGUUUUAUGAAAGACCAAACAAGGUUGACCAGGACAGGACCAUUCUUAAUCUCCUGGACAUAACGCGUGUGAAAAGGCAGCGUCUGAAAGUCCUGGACGUUAAUAAACAAAAAGACCGGAACAUAUCUGUCAAGUACAAUCUUUUGUGCGGCAAUCACCCAGAGAAGGUGCCCGUUUGCAAGGCCACCUUCAUUAAAGUGUUCGGCAUCAGCAAAGACCGUGUGUCCCGGGUGGCUAAAUAUUAUGCUGAGACUGCUGAGGCUUGCCCAGAGAGAAGAGGUGGUGCACGGCACAGUGAGGAGCACAACAGGAGAAGGCAACUCAUUGUUGACCACAUCCAGUCUUUUACCUGCAGGGCCAGCCAUUAUGGUCGGAGAGGAGCACCAGGCCGCAAGUAUGUCCCCAGUGACUUGAAUGUGCACAAGAUGCAUGAGCUCUUUGAGGCUCAGAACCAUGCACAGACCAGCUACUCCCUCUAUUACUCGGUGUUCUCCAAGGAUUUCAAUCUUGGCUUCGUUCACCCAGCUACAGAUGCAUGCUCUGAUUGUGUCAAGUACAAGAUCAGGAUUACAGAUCCAAACCUAACUGAGACAGAGAAGAAGAUGGAAUCUGCAUCAUUCAUCUUGCAUCGUCGCAGAGCUCGCAUGUUUUAUGACUUGUUAGGCAGGGUUGCUGAAGGUCAUGUGACGCUCAGUUUUGAUAUGAUGCAAAACAUGGUCCUUCCAAAAACCCCAGUAGGACAGGCCUAUUACUCACGGCAGAUGUAUCUGUACCUGUUUGGUGUUGUUGUACACCAUGGUGAGAACAGUCAACAGGAAAAAGAUGAUGUCCAUCUCUAUGUGUGGCAGGAGAAUGAGAAUAGCAAAGACAGCAAUAUGAUUGUUUCUGUGCUGAGUGACUGCCUCAAGGUUCAACUUCAGGACAAAGUCAGCAGAUCCAGGGGACUUCGGCUGUUCAGCGACUCUUGUUUUGGGCAAAACAAAAACAUGAGCAUGGUGUCAAUGCUCAUGGAACUUCGUCAGCUUUUUCCCAACCUUGGCAUAGAGCAUACCUUUCCAGUAAGGGGCCACAGUUUUCUUCCAGCAGACCGAGUCUUUGGCAGAAUUGAGCAGAAGAUCAGGAAAAUUGACACAAUUCUGCUACCACAGGAAUACCAUACCAUCCUCCAGCAAUUCGGCCAUGUUCACGUUUAUGGCACAGACUGGGAGGCAUUUGAUUAUAGGUCACCCUCAAAAGAGUGCGUUAAGGCUCAGAAGAGCUUUAAAAUCAGUGAAGCACGCAUGCUUGACUUGAGUACCAACAAGGUUGGUUUAAAGAGUGCUUACAAUGGGGAGUAUUGUUUUCAUAGUGUAUUAAAGCGGGGCAAGCGGUGGGCUGACCUAAAACUUGAGUUACUUCCAAAGCGAACCUCUGUGAAGGCAGCAAAGAAGCGCGAUGUGCUGGCACUAUUAGGAGCAGUAGGUGUGUCUGAUGUAGUGAGGGCUUUUUAUGAUGAUGCACUGUAUCAUGUGACUGACAAUGCAGGCCAUAGUGAUGAAGAUGCAGAGUGAUCUAUACUCACUCACUCACUCUAUCUCAUACACACACACACACACACACACACACACUCUCUGUCCUCUCACACACUCAAAGCACAUUUCACACACUAUGUGGUUAGUUUUAUGUAUAGCGGACAAUGGUCCUACUGUUUACGAGUUUGACACUUUACUGAAUGCUAAUGUAUUACUGAAUGACUUGCCUAUGAAUAUCGUUAUCAUUAUUAGUUUUUUUUUUUUUCAUGCAUAUGUAGUGGACAAAUUUUUCUACUUGUUACAGGUUUGACACUUUACUAAAAAAAGCCUUUGAAUGUAUUUCUAAAUAACUUGCCUAUUGAGUAUUGUUAUCAUUACUAUCAUUACUUUUUACAGGUUCGGCACUGAAUGACUAUUAACCUAAAUGUGUUACUAAAUGAUUUGAAUGUAAUGUUAACAUUGUUGCAGGUUUAUUUAAUUGGUAGUAUAUGUAUGCAUGUUAUUUUUAAAUUAUUUGUUUUAUGUGGUGGACAAUAUUGAAACAUAAAAUUUAAAAUAUUUAUUUUAUUUAAAUUUUAUUAUUUAUUUGGCUGCUAUUUAUUUCAUGAAUUUGCAUUUAUUUGAUUUAUAUUAAUUUAUAGUAUGAGUCCCUGUUGUCAUAUGUUGCAUGUUCUUUUGUUGUUGUUGUUGUUGUUUAUAAAAAAAAAGACAUAAAACCAACAAUUAAAAAAAAUGGAUUUGUAGCAUUUUGGAAAAAAAUAUGGAUUUGUAGCGUUUUGAGAAAAAAAAAAAAACUUUGAAUUUAUAAUCAACAAUAUUGUCGUUUCAUUUAGCAAUCAUUUUUUAACAUGUUCAGACUGAGCCAAUAUACCUUUUUAACAGGAUGAAUUAAAUAUUAACAAAAUGUAUGGGUCUAGGUAAAAAAAAGUCAUUUUCAUGAAAACGAUUAAAAUGGAUUUAUAGCGUUUUGGAAAAGAGCUCCUCAUAUUUUCUUUAUUUCUCCCACUAGAUGGUACCAGAUCUGCCUCCAUUAAUUGGAUUUUAAAUGUGUUUGCUUUAUUAAGGCAAUGUUUAAGUUAAAAACUAAAGUAAUAAAAAUACUAAUAAAUGUUUAUUUUACA